GUCGAGAAUCUUUCACAAUGGACGAAAGUCUGAUGGUGCAACGCCGCGUGGAGGAUGACGGUCUUCGGAUUGUAAACUCCUGUCAUCCGGGAGUAAGACCUGGCUGUGAAUAGCAGACAGGGUUGAUAGUACCGGAAGAGGAAGGGACGGCUAACUUCGUGCCAGCAGCCGCGGUAAUACGAAGGUCCCGAGCGUUGUUCGGAAUCACUGGGCGUAAAGGGAGCGUAGGCGGCGUGGUAAGUCAGAUGUGAAAUCCCGGGGCUCAACCCCGGAACUGCAUCCGAUACUGCCGUGCUAGAGGAUUGGAGAGGUAGCUGGAAUUCUUGGUGUAGCAGUGAAAUGCGUGGAGAUCAAGAGGAACACUCGUGGCGAAAGCGAGCUACUGGACAAUAUCUGACGCUGAGGCUCGAAGGCCAGGGUAGCGAAAGGGAUUAGAAACCCCAGUAGUCC
rnacentral:rRNA from 1 species